AUACGUAGGGGCCAAACGUUGUCCGGAUUUAUUGGGCGUAAAGGGCUCGUAGGCGGUUUAACAAGUCGGUCGUGAAAGCCCGGGGCUCAACCCCGGGACGCCGGUCGAAACUGUUAUGACUAGGGUCCGGUAGAGGUGAGUGGAAUUCUCGGUGUAGCGGUGGAAUGCGCAGAUAUCGAGAGGAACACCAGUAGCGAAGGCGGCUCACUGGGCCGGUACCGACGCUGAGGAGCGAAAGCAUGGGGAGCAAACAGGAUUAGAAACCCCAGUAGUCC
rnacentral:rRNA from 1 species